AGAGAGUGAGCCACGUGUUGCCCAGCUCUGAAGUGGGAAAGAGUGAGGUACAUUAGAGGCACCUAAGGAAGGCCAGCUGAUGGAGCAAAAGUCAAUGAGAUAUUAGUGCAACAUGAGGUCAGCCAGUGCAGGGGUUCAUCAGUCUUGUUACGUUUGGAGUUUUUAACCCAACAGCAAUGGCAAGUCAUUGCAGAAUUUUUUGGCAGAGGAUAUAAAAUCACAGGGUUGGUUUUUAAAAGAGCUCUCUAGCCUUGGUCCAAUCAGAUUGGAAAUGUCUUACCUUUUGCAAGCUCCUUAUCUUAUGUAACAACCGCUCUAGUGAGGUUUGCAUGUGGGUUAAUAUUCACUUCCUUUGUCUUUCUACCCUUUAGGAGGCCCAAAAGGAUUCUUUGGGAAGAGUUGCAAAAGGAAAUGUAACUGUGCCAACAAUGGCCAUUGCCACAGGGUGUAUGGUGCCUGUAUGUGUGAGCCAGGGCGCUAUGGGAGGUUUUGUCACCUGAACUGUCCCAAGGGAGCCUGUGGAGCUGGCUGUUCUUCAGAAUGUCAGUGUGUGGAGGAGAACACCCUGGAAUGCAGUGCCAAAAAUGGCAGUUGCACCUGCAAAUCUGGUUACCAAGGCAACAGAUGACAGAAAGCCUGCCCUAACGGCCUCUGGGGACCAGAUCUUCCGUUCUCCUGUGGACCCUGUGAGAAUGAAGGAACAAACGGGAAGGACUGUAAACAGGUGUGUCAGUGUUCAGCUGAGAAUGAGGAGUGUCACUCCAUCACAGGGAGAUGUACCUGUCUGCCGGGCUACCAUGGAAACCGCUAUCAUCUCCGUUGCCCAAGAGGCACUUAUGGUCCUUAUUGCCAAAGGAAGUGUAAGUGACUGAACGGUGGCAGCUGCGACACCAUGAUUGGCACCUGUGACUGCCCUCCUGGCUUCAUCGGGGCUGACUGCAGUCAAACUUGUCCUGAAGAUCACUACGGGCAGGACUGUGUCCAGCGGCGUUCCUGUGGCUCAGGACAGUGUGACCCAGUGACUGGAGGGUGGCAGUGUCCCCCCGGCCAAAUGGGAGCCAGGUGUCAGCAAGGAUGUCCCCCAACGAGGUAUGGCCCAAACUGUGAGCUAAAAUGUACCUGUAAAAAUGGUGGCCUUUGCAAUCCUGUGGAUGGAAGCUGUACCUGUGCCCUUGGCUGGACAGGAAAUUAUUGUGAAAAAGGUAAGUUGAUUACUACUUUCUUUCAUUCAAUAAAAAUCUACAGCAUAGUGCCAUUGGUUGAUAAAGUAUAGUACGGACCUGUGAAGGAGCUCUUUUCCAAUAAGUUUAUACAAGUUGUUUAUAAUUAUGAUUGCAUUUCCAAUAAAAAUAAUGUUAUGUUAAUACUGAUUGAUUUUUUUUACCUUGUUACUGGAAUACCACAUGAAAACUCUUAAAACUCUUAAGUAAUUGAAAUAGUAUUCAUGUGAAAGAGCUCCUUUGAGACCUGAAUCCCACUCCCCCCCCAGCCAGUUCUUGAGGCAGGCGGGAUGGAGGAUGCAGGGCCCUGGGCAGAGCCAGUUCACAUCAGGAGUGGACCCAGCUGCAAGAAGUGAAGUGCAGGAUUCUGGGAGCAGAGGUCUCCAAACUGCACCUCAUUGGGAGAAAUUUAAUCAUGCACCACCAUAAAUGUACUUUUAUUUAGAAGUGACAUUCAUGUGCUUCUCCACUAAUAUGUACCUUAUAAAGGUUUAAAUUGAUAAUGAAUGGAUAAAGAUAAAGAUCAAGAGUUGUUCUAAUGUUUUCUUUUGGAACCACAGUUGAUAAUUUUGUACAACACUGAAAAGCAUGCACCAUAGUUAGAGCACGCUAUUGUGGGAGGUAGUGGUGUGUUUUUGCAGAAUAUUGAGAAAAAGCAGUGAGGCGGAGCAUGGGUGAGAACACUGUGCUUGGGACCUAAACUUGGGGUGCCCUGAGUAAAACAUAACCCACAGUGAAUUUUACCUAGAUGGUUCCAACUUUGGGGGCUAUGGCUCUUUAGACCUGCGGCCCUAACAUACUCUCACAGUGAGUGUGAGUACCCACCAUCCUUUGCCGCUAAUUUGACCGUCAUGAAACUCGGCAGCAUGGCACAGGCGAAAGCACCUUGCACUGGGGGUGGAUAACCCUUAGGCUAAUCUCUGCUCUGCUGACCAUGCUCUGUGCCUUGGAGAGGUUCACAACCGCUCCCUGAGUUUCCCAUCUGAAAGUGAGUAUGGUGACACUUUGAAAUGACAGCCCUUCUAAAUCCAACAUUAAAGACCAUUUUUCACAGAAUUUUUAAAAACAUGGAUAUCCUCCCUAAUUCAUCGGAAACAGCUCCUAUCAAUUUUGUGAUAUUUGGGACUCCUAAAUCAGAGGCAUAGCAGUGUGUUUAGAAUAGAUGUGUUCAUGUUGUUUUUGUUUCUAAUUCAGAGUUGGAUAAUUCUAGCAUUUGGGGUUGUGGGAUAUUUUAACUUUUGAUUCUAUCAUUUAAACUCUUUAUUAUGGAAUAUUUCAAACACAUACAAGAGUUACUGAGUCAUGGGGGGGGGUAAGUACAAAUGUAGUUUUGCAACAUACUGACAGAUUUUCUUUCAUGUGGGAUUGUACCAUAUUGCAUCCUCAUAAACAACAUAUAGAAUGCCUGUUUCCUCACAAGGGAAUCAAAAGAGUAUAUUAUCAAAAUUUUGGUGAGAAAUGUUGUAUUAGUGGAGUUUUAAUUUUCAUUUUUAUUAUUAUGAAUAAAGUUUAGCAUCCUCUUUAAUGGGUAAGGACCUUUUUCUAUAAAUUGUCUAUUUGUACUGUAAAUAGUUGUAUUUUUUGUGUGCCCAUAGGAGGAGGUGAGCUCGGGGUCUUUUUUAUUCCACCAUCUUGACCACUACCAUCCCUGCAUGGCUUUUUUUUUUUCCAACAGGAUAAUUGGGUUUCUAACAUGACAGCUGACUUUUUUUUUUUUUUUUGGCUGUGUUGGGCUUUCAUUGCUCUGUGCAGGCUUUCUCUAGUUGCAGCGAGUGGGGGCUACUCUUCCUUGCACUGCACAGGCUUCUCAUUGCAGUGGCUUCUCUUGUUGCAGAGCACAGGCUCUAGGCGUGCAGACUUCAGUAGUUGUGGCACGCGAGCUCAGUAGUUGUGGCUCGCGAGCUCUAGAGAGCAGGCUCAGUAGUUGUGGCACAUGGGCUUAGUUGCUCCAUGGCAUGUGGGAUCUUCCCGGACCAGGGCUCGAACCCGUGUCCCCUGCAUUGGCAGGAAGAUUCUUAACCACUGUGCCACCAGGGAAGCCCGACAGCUGACUUCUUAAACCAAAAGUUUUCAGGUCUUCCUAUGGCUUGGAAAUGAUAUAACAUUUCCACCGCAUACUCUUGGAUACAGCCAGUUAUGGGUUUAGCCCAGAUUCCACAAGGGAAUUGAUGACGCAAGGGUGUGAAUCCUAGGAGAUGUGCUUCAUUAAGAGCAUCUUUGGAUUAUAGAUUCUGCAUGAUUCAAAAGACUUUUUUUUUGUUUUUAUAAAAUAUAUCUUUCCUCUGUAUUUUAAAAUUUUGAGUCAUAAUUAGGCAUGGAGUCCCCAUUCUCAGGUUUUAGAGGAAUUCAACCAGGUUUUCUUUUAAUACUUCUAUGAUACCAUUUUUGACAUUCAAUUCUCUGAUCAAUUUAAAAUAUUUUUCCUGGUGUAUGGUGUGAGGAAUAGAUCCAUUUCCCCCCUUAUGUGGCUUUUCACUUGUCAUAAUGCAGGUUUUACAAGUCUAUCUUCCCCACUGAUUAAAGAUGCAGGCUUCAUCAAAUACUAAACAUUUAUAUGCAGUUAGGUAUAGUUCUGGAUGCUCUGUUCUAUUGAUCUGUCUAUUUAUGUGAAAAUGCAAUAAUAUUUUUAUUAUGAAGUCUUUAUUAUAUGUAUUUGUCCUGGCAGGGCUAGCUGCCCUUCAUUGCUCUUCUUUUUCAGGGAUUUCCUGGUGCUGUUCUUGUUUGUCCUUCCAAAUGAAAUUUAUAGUCAAAUCGUCUAGAUGCAAAAAAAAAAAAAAAAAAUCAGGUUUCUUCCCACUGUUUUGCUGUCCUCUGUGUCUACUCUUUUAAGGAGAAUUAACAUAUUUCUGAUAUUAACUCAUUUCAUUCAAGAAUAAACAUUGUUUAUCCUUCCAUUUGUUCAAGCUAUGUGUCCCCCAAUAAGUAAAACAUUCGAUUUUCAUAUUCGUAUUAUGAUAUAGCUAUUAAUUUUUAAUUUAUUCAGUAUUUUUACUAAUUUUUAAUUAUCGUUCAGAUGUUUCUUCUGCAUUUAUGAGAUUAAUAAUAUGAUUUUUCUCUUUAGGUUGAUAAAUAUGAUGGAUUUAUCAAUGAAAUUUUUGUAAUAUUACAUGACCUUUCAUUCUUGAAAUAAAUACUAUUUAGUUGUGAUAUAUUACUUUAUAAUAUGUUGUUGGCUUCUGUGUACUUUUUAAAUAAAUUUGGCAUUGAUAUUCUUAAGUAAAAUUGAGCUGUAGUUUUUUUAUGCAUUUUUUUCAGGUUUUGGAAUUGAUGUUAUACUAACAUAAAAAAAAAGUAUUUGAAAUUUUCCUUCCUUUUCAAUGCUCUGGAAUGGUAUAAGUAAUAAGGUGAUGAUCUGAAUUGUAAAAGGUUGUAGGAUUUACCCGUGAAACCUAGGACGGGUGGAAUUUUUUUUAAUUGGAGCGAUUUUACUAUUUUCUCUAUUGUUUUUCUAUUAUAGUUAGCCUGUCUAGUUUUUCUGCCUCAAAUUAGGCCAAUUUGGUAAGUUGUCUUCUAUAACUUUUCCAUUUCAUUUAGGUUUUUAUAUUUAUUCAUAUACUUUUCAGACUUACUCCUUUUGAUGAUCAUUUGACAUUUUUUAAAAAUUGUGUGUAUUUGUGCUUUUUCUCUUUUUUCUUGAUUACACUGGCUAAUGAUUUGUCUGCCUUUAUUUUUUUUAUUAAUGCUACUGUUUAUUUCUGUCUUCAAACUCAUUACAAAUGCAAUUGUCUUAACUAGAAUUAUUGCUUGAGUGGUUUCUUUUUCAGAAUGUUUUCCUGGUUAUCAGGCUCUGGGUUGCCAUUUUAAUUGCAAGUGUCAGAACAGUGGAAUUUGCAGCAGGUUUUCUAGAAGCUGUGAGUGCCUCACAGGUUAUUAUGGAAGAGACUGCGAACAUGCAUGCCUUCCUGGAUUUUAUGGUUUGAAUUGUGCUCACAUCUGUGACUGCAAAAACAGAGCCAACUGUGAUGCAGCAGUUGGACAAUGCAUUUGCCCAGCAGGUUUCCACGGUAGCCAAUGUGAAAAAGGUAUAACCAGGGUGUUUUUAAGCGUUGAAUGUGGGAAUUCUGUGUGACUGUGAGGUCUUUCCAUCUGAGGGCAAACGUGUAAACCCGAAUCUGAACCAUGGAAUAAUCACCUGAGCUUCUGAUUUGGACAUUAAAGUGACAGGAAUUCACUCUACAGACAGUAUAAUGAGUCUUGAUUUUGUUGCUGAUUGGUCAAAAUUUUUAUUUUGCCCUAAAUGAAACUAUUUAAUAUGUCAAAACACUACGAAAGUAGUCUUCAAUGGACAAAGAUUCUACUCUAAAUGAGAAAUAUUUCAUUAAAUGCCUUUUAAAGAAUGACAUGCAUUGGGUUCAGUGGUACUGAAACAGAUUCGAGGGCUUUAUGAAAAAUAUUUAAAGAUGUGAAUUAGGCAUUUAUCAGUAGAAGUAACGGCAGCCAUGAAUGUGGAUGAAGAUAUAGAGGUGAGAAUUUGGGCUACUCAGUUUGAAAUAAAAUAUUAUGAAGCCCUGGUCCAUUCAAAACAAUGCCAAACCACAUCGUUCUCAGUAAAGAACUCCAAGUCCCAUUUUAAUCUAUAUUAUGUUUGCUCUUGUGUAUAUACGGUUACAACUCCAAUAACGAUAAUGAUAAUAUAAUGAUAGUGGUAAUUUGACUUUGAAUCAAAGUUCUUACCAUAAAAAGGAGCUAUAAAUUAGUCCCAUACAGUGUCCUCAUGUCACUAGAACUUUACAUGUAGUGACUCUUGUCCAUCCUUUAUUCACUUAUUCAUUUAUUAUUUAGUGAUUCGAUACAAUGUGCAUCUAUUAUGUGCCUGUUCUGUGUUAAAUUCUGGGAACAUAGUGAAGCUUACCGUCUUCUGGAGAAAUAGACAGUAAAUAAAUAACAUUUUAAGGAAAACUAUUUAAAGCAAUACACUUGGCUGGGCCACUCAGUCUCAUUCCUUAAAUUCCUGUCUUCAAAAAGCUUACAUACAUUCUUAACUGGUACAAACCGAUGUUGAAGUAGCUCAACUUUAAGGCCCAAGUGUGAAACCGUGUAUAAAAUGAAGCUUCUUUCUGAGAAUUCCAAAAAUUUCCUCUCUUCUUCUGACCAAUCAAUCUCACUUUAUCAUCCCACUUUGCUCUUGUGGAAAUUGUAUCUUUUUUUUUUUUUUUUUUUGCGGCACGCGGGCCUCUCACUGUUGUGGCCUCUCCCGUUGCGGAGCACAGGCUCCGGAAGCGCAGGCUCAGCGGCCAUGGCUCACGGGCCCAGCUGCUCCGCGGCAUGUGGGAUCUUCCCGGACUGGGGCACGAACCCGCGUCCCCUGCAUCGGUAGGCGGACUCUUAACCACUGCGCCACCAGGGAAGCCCCCAGAAAUUGUAUCUUUAAUCUCAAUUUAGGUGCAUCACUGACAGCUCAAGGAGUUAAUUUUUCAGCGUUUCUCUUUCCUGGGUAGUGUUCGCCUGGAAUAUUUGGAGACAAUUGCCAUCAACUUUGUGAUUGUGAAAGAGAAAAGCUCCUGCCGCCCAGUAACUGGGACAAUACUGUAUCUAUGUAUGUAUGUAAAUAUCUGCAUCUAGUCCAGAAUAAGAAACCUCCAGAGGCUCAUUAAGAGUCUUGUAUUCCUUCCUACCCCUCCUUCUUCCCUUUUGGGUAGACUUAUAGGAUAAGGCGAAGGCGUUAUGAGUAGCGACUCGGAAUCCUUUAGGAUCUUCCAACUCAGGAGCUUCUUGAUGCUGACAUUUCUUUUCUGCAAAGCUGCUUCAUUAAAGUCUCUAAUUCUUGUGUUUCACUGCACUACAAGUUUCCUGAGAGUCACAUCCAUGUUUACUUGUCUUUUAUCAAAAACGUUUAGAACCAAGUCUAGCACAUGAUAGCCUUCAGCAAAUUUUUGUCGAGGGAAGUUUUGCUUUCCUUCUCCACAUUCUUCAUGGAAUCACAGUAGACAGAAAUAUUUGAACUUUGUGAAAUCUAAACUAAAUCUGUCAGAAUAAACAUCCACAUGGCAUCUUGGUGAAGCCACGGUAACUUGUCACCAAUGAAACACUCAGUAAAGGCAGUGCUUAUAGCAUUGGUGCUUGCAUUUAAAUCCUUAAGAAAACCAGUAAUAUGUACUGAAUGCAUAUUAUAUGCCAGGCAUUUUCAUUUAUACUAGGCGCCUUUACUAUUAUCACCAUACCCAUUUUAUAGAUGAGGAAGCUGGGAGCUGAAGCACAAAAAGGUUAAGUAACUUGCCCAAGGUUACACAGCUAGUAUGUUGGAGCUUGGGGAUUUGAAACAAGCAAUCUGGGCCCAGAGCUAGACUUUUUAACAUCCCCAUUGUACUGCCUCCCAAGGAAAAGAAAGGGAUAGGACUUUUCGGUUGUCAGUCUGCAUUGUCCAUUAACCACACGUGCUACUUAAUUUAAAUUUAGUUUAAUUUAAAAUUCACCUUGGGCUUCCCUGGUGGCGCAGUGCUUGAGAGUCCGCCUGCCGAUGCAGGGGACACGGGUUCGUGCCCCAGUCCGGGAGGAUCCCCCAUGCCGCGGAGCGGCUGGGCCCGUGAGCCAUGGCCGCUGAGCCUGCACGUCCGGAGCCUGUGCUCCGCAACGGGAGAGGCCACAACAGUGAGAGGCAAAAAUUCACCUCCUCAGUCUCACAUGACAUUUCAAGUGCUCAGUGGCCACACACAGCUAGUGGCUACAGUAUUGGAUAGCUCAGCACAGAACAUUUUCGUCAUUGCAGAAGGUUCUAUCGGACAACAGUUAGCAAUGACAUAAAACUAGCCACAAAACCAGGAGAGCUUAUAGACAGGCCGAAAAUUAAAGCCUCACUCUAUGGAAUUUCUGUGGACUAAAUUUGCUACCACAUAGUCUCUUUCAUCCACAAGUAAAUUGCCACGUGACAGUGGCUGCUAUGUAAACAUGUCCAUUCUAGGUGGGCACCUCAAGGCCUCUCUUGUCGUGAGCUCUUUGGGGUACCCAUGGCCUACACAGGCAUACCGCAGGCUCUUUUAUUUGCAUUUUUAUUUUCAAUUAAGCACAGUUCAUCUGCGAUAUUAACUGUGAACAGCUGUGUCUAUGCAGGCACUAUAAAGAUAAAAGACCUCAUUUUAAUUUGAACUCUGGUAAAGAACCUAUUAAACCGCCAUAAUAUUAAUUCGUAAAAGAAUGUAGCAGCUUUUUAUUGGAUGACUUCCCCACCCCCUUGGUAAAUUAACAUUUGCAGACAUUCAAACAGAUGUCUUGAAUACACAUCGUUAUUAACAUGAAAAUGUGGUAAUUUUGUAAAUUAAAAUCAGAUUCUGAACUGCUCAGUAGAGAACCUGACUCAUAACUCUUUUUCAAACAAGAAAACUAGGUCUUACCACCAAACUAAGUAAUUCUCCCACACACUGGGCACAGGUGGUUAUGUUAGGUUAAAUUUGAAAUGACACAUAGUUUUUUUUUUUUUACUUUCAUAAAGUUUGAUGAUUUAAAGAGAAGAUUCAUUUCAGAGCAGUAUUGGCAUCACCUCCAAAGUUCCUUUUACCUACCUGUAGUUCCUUGAUUUAGGAAGGAAUUGAAUUACUGUUGGCUCACACUGAAACUCUGUAAAAAAAUUAAUUGCAAAAUUGAUAUAUUUUCCAUUUAUCUCACAUUUAAAAUAUAACUAGUUAAUUAAGAUGAGAGCUAGACCACACUGUAACCUACCUUCAUUAUCUGAGAAAGAAAAAUAAAAUCAGAUAAACAUCCACUGCUCGUGGAAUAUUCAGGGUGACUCUCCAAUCCAGCAAAGAGAAUUUUGAGGCAAUAAAGAAAUGUUUAACAAAAUUUGCUCAGACUCAGAAUUUGCUCUCGUACCUGUAUCUUUAUAUUUAUAUCAAUAUCUCUAAAUUUUCCACUUCCACUUCCUGAUUUGGGCUUUCUUCUACAUAUGCUUGAUAUCUUGUGUCUUUCCACAUCGUAGUGCAAAAUGAGGAAUGAGCACUAGAUGAGAAUUUAGAAAUCCAGCUCUGUCAUUUACCAGAGAUCUAACGUUUGAGAAGGUCCCUUAAGACAUUCCAAACCUCAGUUCAUCUCUUUCUAGAAUGAGAGAGCUUACCUCACUGCCUCUCCUACCUCAAAGGUGUUUGUUAGAACCAAUUAAGAUAAUGUAUUAGGAACCCAUUUUGAAAAAUGGCGUAGGGCUAGCUGACUGUUAUUAUUGCAAAGUUAAGUUUCUCUGGUCCUUAAACAUUGGUAAAUUGAGUUAUUUCCCAGUCUUGCCUGACUGCCUAGGAAAUGUGAAACCAUUUUCUGUUUCCAGGGGCUGGGCUUGGCUUUCUUCCCAACCUCACAAUCCUUCAGAAACAGAACCUGUUAAUUCUCUGCUAAUUCUCUGCUGGAUAUCAGACUAAGACCAAAUGCACAGGCAGGGGUGUGAUGUUUGAGGGGGCCCCUUUUAGUCCACAUUUCAUUGUUUUGAUAAAGCUAACACUUUUUAAUUCCUUUUCUUCAUUUCUCUACUGGUUGCAAUCACAAUGCAAUUCAACUUAAAGAUAGUUAUAACCCUUUAGUACAUAUAGUAGUAUUUUACACAGGGGAUCUAUGGCCCUUUUGACGUAUUUUAAGAGAUGAAAGAGUUGAAUUUAAAGUCAUUUCCUUUUCAGCAACAUAAGCACAAAUAAUUGUGUUUUCAACCUAAAGACAAACUUCACAUAUUGUGUAUUCAGGGUGAGUUUCGCCUUUUUCUGGUCUCAAGACAGCUAAUCCAUUUUCUGUGUGUCCCUCACAAUGCACUGCUAUUGAAUAAUCUAAUUCUGAGAAGGCACUUUAAAAAUAUAAGUUGCUGUCCUGUCUUCUCGUCUUUUUGAUUUUGCCACUAACUUCCUUGCCUCCCCAGCCUCCUCCCGUUUUCCAUUAAAGUCCUUACUUUUCUUAUAUAACAUUCUAGCAUGGGAAAAAGAUACCAAUGGUUAACCAGAAUUCUUUACAAGCCUGUCCUUAUCCUAUUGCAAUCCAAGACAUAGUAGUAAAAAGACUGUAUGAUAGGAAAGCAUAUUUGAAUUGGCUUUAUUUUUAUUUUUCCCUCACAGAAUGCAGGUCAGGCCAGUACGGACCCAACUGCUCUCUGAAGUGCCAGUGUGUCCACACAGCUCACUGUGACCCUCUCAAUGGGAGCUGCACUUGCCCCCCACCCCCCAAGAGAAUGGGUCCAACCUGAGAGGAAUAUGGUGUGGACAAUCCUCAAUAGCCAAACACUAACAGCUUCUCAGUGGACGAAUAGCAUUUUGCUGAGGUUCACCCAUGGUUCAUCAUCUUAACUUUGGCAGGGAAAUGUACUUACUCAACCGUCUUCAGCCCAGCCUCGCCUGUUGUGAGGUGAAAAACAGGACGUCUCAACUUUAUGGCCUCCAAGCAUAAGUUCCAUUCUCUAGCCUACCCUUCCCAACUUCCUUUUGCUGCAUAACAUGCCCAAGAAAAUGAGAAUGUUUUUUCAAGAUCCCAAAUCGUAGUAACAUUUUGGACUAAUAAAUGAAACUUUUUAUAUGCACAGGAGGUAUUUAAAUUUGGAAGUAAGAACUGCUUUUCAGUUCAGGUUGGACUGCACUGAAAUAUUCACACCUAUUUACUGAAGACCUCAGUGGCCAUUAAGUAGCUGGAUCCUCUUGAGAAAUGUCUAGAAUUUCAUCUAUGUGUCCUCGGUAUCCUGCUUCACAGCUAAGUCAGCUUCAGAUUGUUAAUGCGUUGUAUUUCAAACAUGACUUUUGGUGUGGGAGGCUAUUCAGACUUUAGCCACAUAAAUAUCAGGGUAGAAGUAUGACGUGCAGACUUACAAUGAAUCAUCAAAAUGUUUAGUGGUGUUCUCCCAAUCACUGGUCAGCAGACAGGAAGAAAAAGUGAGUAGAAGUGAUCAAGGCAAGUGCUUAGCCUGCUCUGAGGGACACAAAUUUCCCAUGGAGUAGGGCCUGACUGGAAGGAGGAUUUUAAUCUACACUGUAAUCUUGACCCAAAUUGUUCAUCGUUUAGGUCAACUCUACAACAUUUGUAAGCAUAAGCCCUGUGAUGAGCCCCAGAAAGACACAGCAAUAAAUAUGAUUGUAUUUUUUGCUCUCAACUGGUUUAUACGUGUUUAAAAUUUCAGACGACUGGUUAAUUCACUUUAGAGGACAAAAAUUUUCUUGAUUGGAAAUGUUGUUACUCAUGUUAUCCAUGCUUUAUUGGGAUAAACAUAGAGAAUACUGAAAUUAUAUGACUAGAUAUUUGACUUAUAUACUGCCUAGAGUAGUUUUAAAUCAAAAUCUAUUUAAGAUAGACUUGACUAAAGGAUUUAUGAAAAGUACUUAGUGUUAUCAAUUCAGUAGAGUUUCUGAGCUUUACUUAACAUUUAUCUUCCUAUAUCUCAGCACAUUUAACAGAGAUAUAGCAUA